GAGAGAUGGCUGAGUGGUCGAAAGCGGCGGUCUUGAAAACCGUUGAGGGUGCAAGUCCUCCUGGGGUUCGAAUCCCUAUCUCUC
rnacentral:tRNA from 1 species